rnacentral:lncRNA from 1 species
GUUAAAGGGCGCUUCUGUUUUAGAUCUGACUUCAAGCAAACUUUCCAAAGUAAUCAGCUGUGGGAUGGCUGCCUGGGGUGUGCUGUGCCUCCAAGCCCCCUGUUAUCUACUGGGAUUCUGCCAGGACCACAAAGGUACCACAAACCCCAACUCUCAGGUGGGACUUCACUGCUGAGGCACAGCCAGGUGUCACACCCCUGCUGCCCUGGGAUUUUGGCACCUCUGGAUACACACACCACCGGGAAGGCAGAGCUUCAGGGAUCAAGCAGACCUGGUGAAUUUGGGCAGUUUGGUAACCAUACAGAACUGUCACAUCCUUUUCAGUCCAUAAACUUCUUAUUAAGGACUAUCAAAGACAAUCUAAGAAAUAAACAUGGCUAAACAGAACGCUGCUGGGAUCAGAAUCAGCAGAUCAAGGAGCUGCUGUCAACUGCUCUGCCCAAGGGAGGACUUUUCUUGUGAUGUGAGGAGGGGCUGCACAUGAAAAAGUGAGAGGAGCAGAGGGGUGAGUACUCAUAAUGACCAUUUCUCCAAUUCUGACUGAAAAAAAAUCAGCCGUACCAUUGAUUCUUGGUAUAUUUUCGUUAAGUCUCACUUAAUGACAAAAGCCUAAUAAUUCCUCCAACUCACAACUCUCAUACAUAAAACUAAAGUUGACUCCCUAAUUCAGCCAGCGAAUGGCAGCAGAUUCAGGCUGGCGGAUGAAACACUUAUGGCCC